AGACCUCGCCUGGUCAUCUGGGCCGUGGUGUUGGCGGUGGGUGGGUCUUGCAGCAUCUCUGGUCCUGCUGCGCAGGCCAUGGUACAGAGGUUCAGGGCCCUGCUGUCAGGGUCUGCCUGGUGUGAGUCAAAGCAUGUUUGGGACAUCGUGGUGGGGGUAUCUCAGGCAUAGUGCACACGUGAGGAAGUCACAGUUCUCCGUCCUGGGAGCCAGGAACUCGCUUCUCACUGGGUAUGAAGUAUGUGUGUGAUAUUUGAUCAAGAUACAACUUAAAUUUCCUAAGCUUCUGUCCAUCUGGCUAGUGAGUGGCCAGGUAGCAGAAGUGUUGGUUCCUUUGAUGACUCAGGAGCUCCCUCUUGAGGUGGGCUUUUGUACCACACCCUGAGCCCUGCCAGUGAUGAUGUCCCUAGGUCGCCUGCUAUCAGUGAGUGUCCUCCUAGCCUCUCCCACUUUCUUUGUCCCCCACUCCCCAAGAACGAGGUCUGACAACUUCAGGCUGUCCAUGGAGCCCUAACCUGCCCUUAGAAUGGCCAGAUAGAAUUGACCCCUUUGCUCCUCCCCAGCUAGGAUGCUGUCCCUGAGUGUCCUCCACACUCCUUCCUCAGUCAUGUACAAGAGCUGAGACAGAGCCAGGAUGGUUCCCAAGGUCACCAUGCUCAGUGAGGACCACUCUAAAACCCUAGCCUAAUCUUUACAGGGCCUGCACGGCCCCACAAAAUGAGCCCUUCUAACACCUAUGGGUGCCCCCAAGAGUGACCUCCUCACCUCUGUCCUCUAGGUCCCCGGCAGUGGCCUGGGGUUCUACACUGUAACCUUUUCAGCUGUCCUGUGCCUCUUGGCUCUUUCUGCCACCUUCUGUCUUGAGUGUCUACCAUCCACUGCUUGCUUCUGUUCUGCCUCAGCCCCCAGGGUCCCUGAUGUCCUGAGCUUGGUGAGGAGGGGCUCAGGAGCCCCAGAAGCCGAGGGCCCCCUGUCCUGCCCAUCUCCAGUUCCCAUUAGCCCCCUUCCAGCCCCGUCCCCCAGGAUCUCUGACAUCCUGAACUCGGUGAGAAGGGGCUGUGGAACCCCAGAAGCCGAGGGACCCCUAUCAGUGGGGCCCCCACCCUGCUUGUCUCCGGGUCUCCUAGGCCCCCUGCCCACCCCGUCCCCCAGGAUCUCUGACAUCCUGAACUCAGUGAGGCGGGGCUCAGGGACCCCAGAAGCUGAGGGCCUCCCACCAGUGGGCCCCCCACCCUGCCCAUCUCCGACUCUCCCUGGCCCCUUGCCCA